rnacentral:tRNA from 1 species
AUCGACGACUCAGCUGCGCCAUAAGCACCCACACGAAUUGCUUGAUUCAUUGAAGAAGACGAUUAGAAGCAGCGCCCGAGUUCGGGUCUGUAGCUCAGUUGGUUAGAGCGCACCCCUGAUAAGGGUGAGGUCGGCAGUUCGAAUCUGCCCAGACCCACCAGUUUACUGGUGAGAUAGCUGGUCAGAGAGACGCCUCCACGGUAUGUAGAAAUACGGGGCCAUAGCUCAGCUGGGAGAGCGCCUGCCUUGCACGCAGGAGGUCAGCGGUUCGAUCCCGCUUGGCUCCACCACUUACUGCUUCUGUUUUGAAAGCUUAGAAAUGAGCAUUCCAUUGAUCUUGAUGAUCAGUGCCUGAAUGUUGAUUUCUAGUCUUUGAUUAGAUCGUUCUUUAAAAAUUUGGGUAUGUGAUAGAAAGAAAUAUAGACCGGGCACCUCUUUCACUGGUGCGUGUCCGGGCUAAGGUAAAGUUUGUGAAAUGCA